AGUCUUAUGCUUGUCUCAAAGAUUACGCCAUGCAUGUGCAAGCACCGUCCCGGACCACCGGGGCGUAGCUGCGGAUGGCUCAUUAAAUCAGCUAUUAUUCCUUAGAUCGUACCGACCGUUGUGGAUAUCUGUAGUAAUUCUAGAGCUAAUACAUGCACGCAAGCACCGAUCCUCCGUGAGAAGUGCGCUUUUAUUAGAACAAGACCGGCGGUGAGGAGUAACUACCGUAGCCCCGUCGUGUUGACUCUGGAUAACUUAGCCGAUCGCACGGCCCUGGACGCCGGCGACGCAUCUUUCAAAUGUCUGACCCAUCAGCUGGUUGGCCGGGUAGUGGCCGGCAAAGGAGGUGACGGGUAACAGAGAAUCAGGGUUCGAUUCUGGAGAGGGAGCCUGAGAAACGGCUACCACGUCCAAGGAAGGCAGCAGGCGCGCAAAUUACCCACUCCCGACUCGGGGAGGUAGUGACGAAAAAUAACGAUAGACGACUCAGUCGAGGCUGUCUAAUCGGAAUGAGUAUAGUCUAAAGCCUUAACACGAGGAGCUAGUAGAGGGCAAGUCUGGUGCCAGCAGCCGCGGUAACUCCAGCUCUACAGGCGUAAACGUGAGUUGUUGYAGUUAAAACGCUCGUCGUUGGAUUUGAACCUAGGCCGCGGCCGGUACGGGGCAGAGUUUCCCCGCUAUCGCGGCGGUCGGUCACAGGCGAGUUUCACACACAGCGGAUCCCCUUGGUUGGGCGUCCGCGGGCUCGCGUACGUUACCUUGAACAAAUGAGGGUGUUCAUGGCAGGCUAGCACACGCCUGGAUAGUCUAGCAUGGAAUAACAGAACUCGACUCCGGUCUUUUUCUGGCUGGUCUCUAGGACUCGGAGGGAUGAUCAAUAAGGACGGCCGGAGGCGAUAGUACUCCUGCGUUAGAGGUGAAAUUCUUGGAUCGCAGGAUGACUGACCGCAGCGAAAGCAUUCGCCUAGCACGWCCUCAUUAAUCAAGAACGGAAAGUUAGAGGAUCGAAGACGAUCAGAUACCGUCCUAGUUCUGACCAUAAACGAUGCCGACAGGCGAUCGGUCGUAAGUACUUUGCAAACCCUUACACAUGACACGGCCGGCAGCCCUCGGGAAACCAAAGUCUUUGGGUUCCGGGGGUAGUAUGGUUGCAAAGCUGAAACUUAAAGGAAUUGACGGAAGGGCACCACCAGGAGUGGAGCUUGCGGCUUAAUUUGACUCAACACGGGGAACCUCACCUGGGCCGGACACUGCAAGGAUUGACAGAUUGAGAGCUCUUUCUUGAUUCGGUGGGUGGUGGUGCAUGGCCGUUCUUAGUUCGUGGAGCGAUCUGUCAGGUUAAUUCCGAUAACGAACGAGACUCUAGCCUACUAACUAGCGCAGGCGGUGUAAUGAGCCGUCGCAAUCACGUUGACACUUCUUAGAGGGACCAGCGGUGUGGCAACCGCGCGAGAUUGAGCAAUAACAGGUCUGUGAUGCCCUUAGAUGUCCAGGGCCGCACGCGCGCUACACUGAAAGAGACACCGAGGCAGGCGGGUACAGCUCCGGAAGGGGCUUGUGUUAAACUCCCAACCUCUAUCGUGCUUGGGAUUAGGGUCUGAAACUGUUGCCUAUGAACGAGGAAUUCCUAGUAAAUGUGAGUCAUCAGCUUGCGUUGAUUACGUCCCUGCCCUUUGUACACACCGCCCGUCGCUACCACCGAGCUUGCGUUUUAGUGAGACUGUUGGAGGCGUCCUGGUCACCGGCGUGGAGGUGAGAGACGGUGAGUCGUACACUCCGGUGGACGGCCCGACUUUCCCGACACGGGGCCGGCGUCAAGUGGUGCGAGCAA
rnacentral:rRNA from 1 species